rnacentral:rRNA from 1 species
CAAGUCGAGCGGUAGCACAGAGAGCUUGCUCUCGGGUGACGAGCGGCGGACGGGUGAGUAAUGUCUGGGAAACUGCCUGAUGGAGGGGGAUAACUACUGGAAACGGUAGCUAAUACCGCAUAACGUCGCAAGACCAAAGUGGGGGACCUUCGGGCCUCAUGCCAUCAGAUGUGCCCAGAUGGGAUUAGCUAGUAGGUGGGGUAACGGCUCACCUAGGCGACGAUCCCUAGCUGGUCUGAGAGGAUGACCAGCCACACUGGAACUGAGACACGGUCCAGACUCCUACGGGAGGCAGCAGUGGGGAAUAUUGCACAAUGGGCGCAAGCCUGAUGCAGCCAUGCCGCGUGUGUGAAGAAGGCCUUCGGGUUGUAAAGCACUUUCAGCGGGGAGGAAGGCGUUAAGGUUAAUAACCUUGGCGAUUGACGUUACCCGCAGAAGAAGCACCGGCUAACUCCGUGCCAGCAGCCGCGGUAAUACGGAGGGUGCAAGCGUUAAUCGGAAUUACUGGGCGUAAAGCGCACGCAGGCGGUCUGUCAAGUCGGAUGUGAAAUCCCCGGGCUCAACCUGGGAACUGCAUUCGAAACUGGCAGGCUAGAGUCUUGUAGAGGGGGGUAGAAUUCCAGGUGUAGCGGUGAAAUGCGUAGAGAUCUGGAGGAAUACCGGUGGCGAAGCGGCCCCCUGGACAAAGACUGACGCUCACGUGCGAAAGCGUGGGAGCAACAGGAUUAGAUACCCUGGUAGUCCACGCCGUAAACGAUGUCGAUUUGUAGA